UACGGAGGGUGCAAGCGUUAUCCGGAUUUACUGGGUUUAAAGGGUGCGUAGGUGGUAGGAAAGUCAGGGGUGAAAUCUUCGGGCUUAACCCGGAAACUGCCAUUGAUACUAUUUAUCUUGAAUACUUUGGAGGUAAGCGGAAUAUGUCAUGUAGCGGUGAAAUGCUUAGAUAUGACAUAGAACACCAAUUGCGAAGGCAGCUUACUACACAGUUAUUGACACUGAGGCACGAAAGCGUGGGGAUCAAACAGG
rnacentral:rRNA from 1 species